rnacentral:rRNA from 1 species
UACGUAGGGGCGAAGCGUUAUCCGGAAUUACUGGGCGUAAAGGGUGCGCAGGCGGUUUAUCAAGUCAGGGUGAAAGGCUACGGCUCAAACCGUACGUGAGCCUCUGAAACUGGUGAACUUGAAUGUAGGAGAGGAAAGUGGAAUUCCCAGUGUAGCGGUGAAAUGCGUAGAUAUUGGGAGGAACACCAGUGGCGAAGGCGACUUUCUGGACUACAACUGACGCUGAGGCACGAAAAGCGUGGGGAGCAAACAGGAUUAGAUACCCGGGUAGU